rnacentral:rRNA from 1 species
AUUCCAGCUCCAAUAGCGUAUAUUAAAGUUGUUGCAGUUAAAAAGCUCGUAGUUGGAGUUCAGAGUGAGCUCAAUCGGUCGGGAUUAUGUCUCAGGACUGGUUGACUCUCUCUUGUUUGUGGAUCCUGUUCGGAGUUAACUCUUCGGAUGUGGAGUCCACAUCGUUUACCUUGAAAAAAUUAGAGUGUUCAAAGCAGGCGUUUGCUUGAAUAUGUUAGCAUGGAAUAAUGGAAUAGGACGCUGGUUCUAUUUUGUUGGUUUUGAGAACCAGAGUAAUGAUUAAUAGGGACAGUUGGGGGCAUUCAUAUUUCAUUGUCAGAGGUGAAAUUCUUGGAUUUAUGAAAGAUGAACUUCUGCGAAAGCAUUUGCCAAGGAUGUUUUCAUUA